GACCUUUUUGGUGGCCAAGUGGUUAGAGCAUCCGCCUCAAAUGUGGGGAGGGGGUUGCGGGUUCAAACCCCUACCAAGUCA